CGCAACGAGCGCAACCCUUAUCCUUUGUUGCCAGCGGUCCGGCCGGGAACUCAAAGGAGACUGCCAGUGAUAAACUGGAGGAAGGUGGGGAUGACGUCAAGUCAUCAUGGCCCUUACGACCAGGGCUACACACGUGCUACAAUGGCAUAUACAAAGAGAAGCGACCUCGCGAGAGCAAGCGGACCUCAUAAAGUAUGUCGUAGUCCGGAUUGGAGUCUGCAACUCGACUCCAUGAAGUCGGAAUCGCUAGUAAUCGUAGAUCAGAAUGCUACGGUGAAUACGUUCCCGGGCCUUGUACACACCGCCCGUCACACCAUGGGAGUGGGUUGCAAAAGAAGUAGGUAGCUUAACCUUCGGGAGGGCGCUUACCACUUUGUGAUUCAUGACUGGGGUGAAGUCGUAACAAGGUAACCGUAGGGGAACCUGCGGUUGGAUCACCUCCUU
rnacentral:rRNA from 1 species